ACGAUUCUCUGCGUGACACCUGUAUGCGAUCUAUCAACGAGAGUAGAAGCCGAUUGGAGCCUUCGCCCCCACAAAAGAAGUGCAGGUUAGAAGCGGCUUUCUCUCUGCGCAGGAGUCUCAUCUCCACAAAGCGGGGACCUUCCAGGCGAUCACCCAAGAUCCUUUGUCGAUCAAAUCACAGAAUAUAUAGUGUUCUUCCUAUCAGGGAGUUGCAAGGCGCAUGGAGAAACUUGUCGAAGUUUUGAUCGCCAUUGGAGACGAGACAGGCUGCAUCUCAGUCGUGAAACGUUUCCAUCCUUCGCACACUCGCGCGCUUCAUACCAAGAGAGUUAUUGAAGGCAAGCACCAUGGCACCGGCAUUUCGGGGAUGGACAGUUUGGAACCGGCACAUCCCAACCUGUCGUUUCAGCGGAAGAGGAAGCUCGACGUUGUCCCGGAUACAUCCAAGAGGAAAAGAGGGAGCAGUACUUGAAGUUAACGCUACAGGAGCCGUGUUGGCUUUUCCUUAUCAAGUAGUCACUGCAAAACAGGCAGCAAGGGAAGGUUUUGAAGAGUGAGGAGCUCAAAGAGAAGAACGGCUGCUAUCUUGCCAAUUCUCGCGUUCUCUUCUCAGCAGCGAGACUUCUGCCAAGCUGACAGAUGAUCUUCUUCUCAGAAGUCGAAGACAGCCAUGCACAUGAACGUCGAAGCACUCGGCUACGGAGCCUGAUCAAAGGCGAGGAGGCGGUGGCCGAUUGUCCCAAGAACUUGACACAACCUUUCAUCAUCAACAGCUCGCGUUUAGAGGUCGAAGUCGAUCCCGAGGCUUCAGGUAUCGCGCACUGCCGGCUGCUUGGCAUAUCUGGCUUCUGAGAGCUCGGCCUCAGCUAGUGAGGUGACGCAGUUUAUGCAAGACAGUGGACUAUAUACGGUAUUCUCGAGCG